rnacentral:rRNA from 1 species
GAUGAACGCUAGCUACAGGCUUAACACAUGCAAGUCGCGGGGCAGCAUGUCGGUUGCUUGCAACCGAUGAUGGCGACCGGCGCACGGGUGAGUAACGCGUAUCCAACCUGCCCUUCACCACGGAAUAAUCCAGUGAAAAUUGGUCUAAUACCGUAUGAGGUCAUACGAUGGCAUCAGAAUAUGACGAAAGGUUUGGCGGUGAAGGAUGGGGAUGCGUCUGAUUAGCUUGUUGGUGAGGUAACGGCUCACCAAGGCGACGAUCAGUAGGGGUUCUGAGAGGAAGGUCCCCAACAUUGUAACUGAGACACGAUCCAAACUCCUGCGGGAGGCAGCAGUGAGGAAUAUUGGUCAAUGGGCGAGAGCCUGAACCAGCCAAGUAGCGUGCAGGAAGACGGCCCUAUGGGUUGUAAACUGCUUUUAUAUGGGGAUAAAGUGAGCUACGUGUAGUUUAUUGCAGGUACCAUAUGAAUAAGGACCGGCUAAUUCCGUGCCAGCAGCCGCGGUAA